UCCAGGGUUCUCCCGAAGCAAUGGCACAAUAUUGCUGCGCCACCACGCAGAUUGUCAAAUGUAGUGUAUCCCUUUCUGUUGUCCUGGGUAAUUAUUUAUUUUUUCACAUCUUUACAAACCACGUGAUAAAAUAAUU